rnacentral:tRNA from 1 species
AGCCCCGUUGUCUAGAUGCUAAGAACAGGACAAUGGCCAACCAAGCCGGUGACCCAGGUUCGAAUCCUGGCGGGGCUA